rnacentral:tRNA from 1 species
GCGGGUGUAACUCAGUCCGGUAGAGUCACUGCCUUCCAAGCAGACGGUCGCUGGUUCGAAUCCAGUCAUCCGCUCCA